GGAGUGACUCACUGUGGUAAUUGUUACAAACGCAGUUUAUUGCUGGGCUUGGUCAGGCAGCUUCUGAUGAUCAGGUGUGUUUUGCAUCCCGCUUAGGCACCAAACUGGACUAGAAUGGAGUUUCUUCUGAAAUGCAGACGCUACUGUGCCACCAAGUUCCUCCUACAAGUAUCUGAAAUUAUUUCCCAGGAAUAUCACUGCCUGAUUUUUCUAGGUGAGGAAGCUAAAGCCCUGAGACCUUUACAGAGCUGGGACAUGCACUGGGGCCUCUGAGUUCUAACAUCGAUGAGCUUCACUGCUGUACCCUCCUGCCUGCAGCAGAUUCUGGAACUGUGAGUGAACGAUCACCAAGCUUAGAGGCCUA